AAUUCUUGCAAACAUUCUUUUUUUUUUUUUUUAAUCAACAAAGCAAACUCCUCGAGGAAGAAAUGGAAGUUUCUGCCAGAAAGCAAUGUUACAAAAUGUUUCAGCUAUAACUUAUUGGUCAUAUGUAGGUUAACACAGGGGGUCAGUAUAAUGAAAUGUAUUGCAGCAGAGAACAGGUCAUUAUAAUUAUUGCUUCUGUCUAUUUAUUAAGAGCAUCACCGGUUCCUAAUAAAUUGCUAAUGAGUUGAUGGACGCAAAUAAAAUGCCCAGAUUUCUCCCAACUGGCGUCGGGUUGAAGACUAACGAGGUUAGAUAGCAAAAAAAAAGAUGCGUUAAAUUAAAUGUAACAAAGCUUGCAUAGCUAACUUAUUAGGAAAUAUGUCAACUACAAGUAGGAAGUAGUAAAUGGGUUAAGAGUAACUAAAAUGUACCUAUAUUCUGCUUUAAACUACUUGCAGUAAAUCUGUGCUGUCGUAGUAGGAACGCAAUCUAAAAUACAGAAACGUAAUCCUGUCACACGGGAUGUUAAAUGUAAAAUGUAAAACUGUGUUGUUUCAACGAGAACAGUUGUGUCCUGCAGCCAUGAGCUUGUUCGGUAUGUAUAUGAAGAUAACUGUUUACAUGUUGCUGGUCAAAAUGUGGACAAUACUGUCCCCGAGUCUACUGCAGUGUGUAACAGUACCAGCACGUCUGAGUGCUGAAGUUAUUGCCUUGUUGUAUCUGGGUCACCCCGUUGUACUGUAUGUAUACAGUACUGGACCUGCAUGCUGCCUGUCAUUGUGAGUCGCAGUAUGCCGUAUCUUGUGCAAAUGCUCUUGACUUGAAGAGAUGUUUUAUGCCCCUGUAAUAAAGUAAGUAGUAGGAUUUACCAAAAUGUUCAAAUAUCCUCUGUAACUCCCCUCUUCCUAUGUGCCUCAAUAAAGUUUUGACAAAUAAAUA